rnacentral:rRNA from 1 species
UACGAAGGGGGCUAGCGUUGCUCGGAAUCACUGGGCGUAAAGCGCACGUAGGCGGACUCUUAAGUCGGUGGUGAAAUCCUGGAGCUCAACUCCAGAACUGCCUUCGAUACUGAGAGUCUUGAGUCCGGGAGAGGUGAGUGGAACUGCGAGUGUAGAGGUGAAAUUCGUAGAUAUUCGCAAGAACACCAGUGGCGAAGGCGGCUCACUGGCCCGGUACUGACG